CGGUCGGCCGAGCGCUCCACCAGCUCCACGGUCUGACCACAACGGACGCCGAGCUCCCCUGGUCCCCCGGAGGAGACGUCCAACAGCACCACCACUAACUCACAGCCUCCUGACAGCUGGGGACACAAGUGGACAGGUAUUUGGUUCGUCCAGACGAGUCUUUGAUCUCCUUGCUGAAGAUGAGUGACAGCUCGAACAGGAAGAGGUGCCGGUCCCGCCCCUUCCUGAUCAGAGACUUUGGUUCCCACACCAAGAAGGAGUCCUGCAGCAGGAGCUCCCCCUGCACCUCCAGACCCUCCUCCAGACCUGAGCACAGCAACCACAGUCAGCUCACCGAACAGCAAGUACCUGUUGUGGAACUCGUAGAUGUCCUGGAUGUUUCCGAACACGAUGUCGUCCUUGUUAAUGAGACCAGGUGGGACGUCCUCUGAGCCGCUCGUCAUCUCCCACAGGGAAGGGACUUCCGAUGCUCCUCCCAGUCUCCUCACCUUCAGGAAGGCCUCCUUCUGCUCCAUGUGUUUGUUGAUGAGAGGCAGGAGCUGCUCAGGCUGUCUGUCUCCACCUCCACACCAGUCCUCCUCUCUGCGGUACUCCUGCUCCAGACUCUCCAGCACGCCACACACCUGCAGAGACAGGUGGACAGGUAGGUGGACAGACAGACAGACGAACCAGUAGGACAAGAGGACAUGCAGACAACAGUACCUGCUGGGAUGUCCUGUAAAAGGCUGCAGAUGCGUUGACCAGCUUGAGUCUGUCUUCAAUCCUCAGCAUCAGAGUCUGCCAGUGCAGCGCCACCGUCUGGGCACAAGACCUCACUGCAUCUGGAUCGUAGUGACCCGACCUGGGGACAGGACAGACAAGUGAGACUGAAGCCAGAGCCACCUGAUGAGUCCUCUGCAGGGAGUCAGCAUGGAGCAGAGCCUGGAGAGAGACACGCGGGAAGACGAGCAUAUCUCUGGCUGUCCCAGAAUGCAGUGUGUGUGUACAUGCAGUAACCUCUAUGGCCUGCUGGAGGCGCUCGUGCUCCCUCUGCAGCUGCUCAGCUUCAGACAGACAGCUGGAGUUCAGCAUGCAGGACGACAACAUGACUUCCCCCUCUGAGAUCCAACCCAGCACCUGAGCCACAGACAGGCAGAGAGACAGACAGUACCUCCUUGGUGUGUGUGUAGAAGGACACAGCGAGGUCCAGCAGCAGCUUCCUCUGCUCAACUCGCUGGAUGAAAGCCUGCAAACACACAACAGGAUCAUCAGAGUCCAGCAUGCGAUGCUCCUGUGCUCCUCCUCCCCUGCCCUCCCCUCACAAGUUCACAGAGUACCUGCAUGCGGAGCUCCAGGUCUCUGGCUGCCUGGUAGAUCUCCUCCUCCUCACACUCUCCAGACUGAGCCAGCUGAUCCGCUGCUUCCAGAAGCUUCUCUGCAUUAGUGUAAGUGUUCUGACACACGCACACACACACACACACACACACACACACACACACAGCUGAGGUUAGUGCUUUCAUCAGUCCUCCUUUUCCAUCUUAAAGCCUCCCAAAGUCCAGACCAGAAGCCAGAUACUGAAGUGUUCCUUCAGUUUCUCAGGCUGAUGUUUUCACUCGGUCUUGACUAACUUGAGUCUGCUUUAUUUUUCUCUUUUGCUCGCUCCGAUGUUUGGCAGGAUGUCAGUCAGGUGUGUGUCAUGUCAUGUUGAAA